AUGAACGCUAGCGGCAGGCUUAAUACAUGCAAGUUGAGGGGCAGCAUGAUAUACGCGAGUAUAUUGAUGGCGACCGGCGGACGGGUGAGUAAUAGGUAGGAGACCUACCUCAUACAGGGGGAUAGCAUAGAGAAAUCUGUGGUAAUACCCCAUGAGGUUAUAUGAAUAGAGGCAUAUAAUCAAAGCAUAAGCGAUUAUGCGGUAUGAGAGGGGCCUACUGACCAUUAGCUAGUUGGUGAGGUAAGGGCUCACCAAGGCGAAGAUGGUUAGGGGUUUUGAGAGAGAGACCCCCCACAUUGGAACUGAGAGGCGGUCCAGACUCCUACGGGAGGCAGCAGUAGGGAAUAUUGGGCAAUGGGCGAAAGCCUGACCCAGCCAUGCCGCGUGAAGGAAGACGGCCUUAUGGGUUGUAAACUUCUUUACUACGCGAAUAGAGGUUAGUACGAGAUACUAAUAGGAAGGUAGUGUAGUAAAAAGCACCGGCUAACUCCGUG
rnacentral:rRNA from 1 species